ensembl:lncRNA
GGUUUUUAAGUCGAAUUAUGUGAGAAAAUCAAAUAAAUAAAUAAAUUAAACCGCAAACCCUAAAUAUGGAAAAUUAACAUUUCAUUCAAUCAUUCAUUCAAAUUCAGGAAGAUCUUUAUUCUGAUUCUGAUUCUGAGCCUGUUCCAGGUACACUGAGCAUGAGGCAAACACAGUAAAUUAUAUGUGAAAAUAAAAACACCUGCCAUACAUGUGGAAAUCCAUUACAUGUGAAAAAAGCAUGAAAUAACCUGUAAAGUGUCUAAAAACCACAAGUGUAAAUUUCACAUGCUGCAUUGCCAACAAAUGGCAUAAUAUUUCAUUACAUCACGUCCUUUUUUUUUCCAUGAAAGUACCUUGAGCGUAUGAAGAGAAAGCGAGAUCAGUCCUUACACAGACUUGAGUGGUUGUAGUGUCUAUAUAAAUUGGUACGAACUUAGUUGUGUGUUUGAGAUAUAGUUAAUAAAUAAAGUUAAAAUCCAAAAGGAAGACAACUGAUUGAACCCAGGUACCCAGGCUUAUUUAAGAUUUUUAAUCAAUUUUUCUUAGAUUUUUAUCUGGUUCAGGAUUCGAGAUUGAAGAGUUUAUUGUCAUAUGUACAGGAAACAAUGUACAAUGAAAUUCUGACUCUGCGAAUCCUCCCAGCAAACUCUGACAUAAUUUAAACAAGACAUUGGGAAGCACAAAAAAACAUAUUAUUACAAAUAGUGCAAAAAAAUACAUAUGCAAGAAAAAGUGGAUGCACAAUGUAAACAUGGAAGAUAUACAUGUGCAAAAGCCUGCAUAGAUAGGCUCAGUAGUGGACCAUGGUGUUGUUCUCAUUUGUAAAUGUAUGUGUGUGUGUGUGUGUGUGUGUGUGUGUGUGUGUGUGUGUGUGUGUGUGCAGGGUGGGGUAAAGCUUGGCUCCUGGUGUGUUUCAUUCACAAGAAUGCUUACCUGUUUCAAAAAAAUAUUGGAGAGAAUGUCAUCAUGUGUAAGAUUAAUAGUAUAACUGCCUUUAACGGUAUAGAGUCAUGCUCCUUUACAUUGUAAGUUAAUAAUUUGGUUAAUGUUGUUGCUCAUACACCUGUGCAAAAGUACUGGAUCUACAAAUUUUACACACAUUGGUAAUGUGGAACUGGGGUAUUAAGUGUUAUUAUCAUGAAACAUUUCAACACAAUGCAAAUGCAGCAUUAGGAAUUAGAUGUUAU